rnacentral:sRNA from 1 species
AUUUUUUUGUAUAUUAAAAACAUCAUUAGGCUAAGUGUGAGAAUUAAGCUUAGAAAUGGAUACUUCAUGCGUUUGGCAUAAUGGUGAAUACUUUUUAUAGCGCUCUCAUUGCGCUACAGAAAUUAGGAGGAUUAUGUAAUAUGCAAAAUGGUAAAGUAAAAUGGUUUAACAACGAAAAAGGAUUCGGUUUCAUUGAAGUUGAAGGCGGAGAAGAUGUAUUCGUUCACUUCACUGCUAUUCAAGGAGAUGGCUUUAAAUCACUAGAGGAAGGUCAAGAAGUUUCUUUCGAAAUUGUUGAAGGAAAUCGCGGACCUCAAGCUUCAAACGUUACAAAACUGUAAUUCAAUCCGGAUCAUGAACGACCAAUAGAUUUUAAGAGACCGGAACUAAUCCGGUCUCUUUUU